UCACUUUUGCAGCUCAAAUGCUAAAAUUGGGAAGAUACAGAGAUAGCAUGGCCCCUGCCUAAGAACGAUAUGAAAUUUUUUGUUAAACAUUCUUUAUUUUU
rnacentral:snRNA from 1 species